AUUGAAUGCUGGCGGCAGGCCUAACACAUGCAAGUCGAACGAGUGGCGGACGGGUGAGUAAUGUCUGGGAAACUGCCUGAUGGAGGGGGAUAACUACUGGAAACGGUAGCUAAUACCGCAUACCAUCAGAUGUGCCCAGUUGGGAUUGGAUGGUAGGUGGGGUAACGGCUCACCUAGGCGACGAUCCCUAGCUGGUCUGAGAGGAUGACCAGCCACAUUGGAACUGAGACACGGUCCAGAUUCGUACGGGGGGCAGCAGUGGGGAAUAUUGCAAAAUGGGCGCAAGCCUGAUGCAGCCAGGCCGCGUGUGGGAAGAAGGCCUUCGGGUUGUAAAGCACUUUCAGCGGGGAGGCGUUACCCGCAGAAGAAGCACCGGCUAACUCCGUGCCAGCAGCCGCGGUAAUUC
rnacentral:rRNA from 1 species